GACGAACGCUGGCGGCGUGCUUAACACAUGCAAGUCGAGCGGUAAGGCCCUUUCGGGGUACGACGAGCGGCGAACGGGUGAGUAACACGUGGGUGACCUGCCCUCAGCUCUGGGAUAAGCCUGGGAAACCGGGUCUAAUACUGGAUAUGACUCCAUGACGCAUGUUGUGGGGUGGAAAGCCUUGUGCGGCUGAGGAUGGGCCCGCGGCCUAUCAGCUUGUUGGUGGGGUGAUGGCCUACCAAGGCGACGACGGGUAGCCGGCCUGAGAGGCGACCGGCCACACUGGGACUGAGACACGGCCCAGACUCCUACGGGAGGCAGCAGUGGGGAAUCUUGCGCAAUGGGCGAAAGCCUGACGCAGCGACGCCGCGUGAGGGAUGACGGCCU
rnacentral:rRNA from 1 species